rnacentral:ncRNA from 1 species
GGGCACCUACGGGGGCCUUCAUACCAUAGGCGGGGAGACCCGCUGUUAAGCAAACGGAAGACAGACA